CCUACGGGUGGCAGCAGUGGGGGAUAUUGCACAAUGGGGGAAACCCUGAUGCAGCGACGCCGCGUGGGCGAAGAAGUAUUUCGGUAUGUAAAGCCCUAUCAGCAGGGAAGAAGAAAUGACGGUACCUGAGUAAGAAGCACCGGCUAAAUACGUGCCAGCAGCCGCGGUAAUACGUAUGGUGCAGGCGUUAUCCGGUUUUCCUGGGUGAAAAGGGAGCGCAGGCGGCAGGGCAAGCCUGUUGUGAAAGCCCGCGGCCCAACCGCGGGACUGCAUUGGAGACUACCGGGCUGGAGUGCCGGAGAGGUAGGCGGAAUUCGUGGUGUAGCGGUGAAAUGCGUAGAUAUUAGGAGGAACACCAGUGGCGAAGGCGGCCUACUGGACGGUGACUGACGCUGAGGCACGAAGGCCAGGGGAGCGAAAGGGAUUAGAUACCCUUGUAGUC
rnacentral:rRNA from 1 species